AGAGAGAGACAUGCGCGCAUAUCAAUAAGCGGAGGAAAAGAAACUAACAAGGAUUCCCCUAGUAACGGCGAGUGAAGCGGGAAGAGCUCAAAUUUGAAAUCUUAAAGGGUUUCCCUUUACGAAUUGUAGUUUAAAGAAGUGUUUUCUGUUGAGGUUUUGGUAAAAGUUCUUUGGAAUAGGACAUCAUAGAGGGUGAGAAUCCCGUAUUUGACCUUUACUUUCAACUUUGUGAUACACUUUCAAAGAGUCGGAUUGUUUGGGAAUGCAGUCCAAAAUGGGUGGUAAAUUUCAUCUAAAGCUAAAUAUUGGCGAGAGACCGAUAGCGAACAAGUACCGUGAGGGAAGAUGAAAAGAACUUUGAAAAGAGAGUUAAACAGUACGUGAAAUUGUCAAAAGGGAAGCGUUUGACACCAGUGUUGUUUUUCCGAAAAUCAAUUACGAAUGUUUUGUUUUUGAGGAGUUAUGACUUCAUCGGCUUGCUUCUCUCUUUACGAAACUUUCUUAAUGCACUUUUCGGUUAACAAGUCAACAUCAAUUUCUUUUGUUGUAAAAGGGUACGAGGAAGGUGGCUUUCUUUUCGGAGAAAGUGUUUAUAGCCUCUUGCCUAUGCAGUCGGAGAGAUUGAGGUCUGCAGCGUAGAUCCUUCGGGGCUAAAUGCAUUUGUGCUAAGUUAUAGCAUUUUAUAGACAACUUGUUGACUAUGAUUUGUCUUGUAGCUUACUCGCUUAUGUUAUUUUACCUACGCUUAGGAUGUUGACGCAUGAGAUAUACGC
rnacentral:rRNA from 1 species